rnacentral:rRNA from 1 species
AAUAGAUACCCGGUAGUCCACUCCGUAAACGUUGGACUAGUUGUGGGGCCUUUCUACGGUCUCCGUGACGCAGCUAACGCAUUAAGUUCCCCGCCUGGGGAGUACGGCCGCAAGGCUAAAACUCAAAGGAAUUGACGGGGACCCGCACAAGCGGCGGAGCAUGCGGAUUAAUUCGAUGCAACGCGAAGAACCUUACCAAGGCUUGACAUAUACCGGAAACGGCUGGAAACAGUCGCCCCCUUGUGGUCGGUAUACAGGUGGUGCAUGGUUGUCGUCAGCUUGUGUCGUGAGAUGUUGGGUUAAGUCCCGCAACGAGCGCAACCCUCGUUCUAUGUUGCCAGCACGUUAUGGUGGGAACUCAUGGAAUACUGCCGGGGUCAACUCGGAGGAAGGUGGGGAUGACGUCAAAUCAUCAUGCCCCUUAUGUCUUGGGCUUCACGCAUGCUACAAUGGCCGGUACAAUGGGCUGCGAUACCGUGAGGUGGAGCGAAUCCCAAAAGCCGGUCCCAGUUCGGAUUGUAGUCUGCAACUCGACUACAUGAA